rnacentral:rRNA from 1 species
GACGAACCGUGCGAACGUUGUUCGGAAUCACUGGGCUUAAAGGGCGCGUAGGCAGCCUUCUAAGUCAGACGUGAAAUCCCCCGGCUUAACCUGGGAACUGCGUCUGAUACUGGGAGGCUAGAGUAUGGGAGAGGGAUGUAGAAUUCCAGGUGUAGCGGUGAAAUGCGUAGAUAUCUGGAGGAAUACCGGUGGCGAAGGCGGCAUCCUGGACCAUUACUGACGCUGAGGCGCGAAAGCUAGGGGAGCAAACGGG